GAUGAACGCUGGCGGCGUGCCUAAUUCAUGCAAGUCGAGCGAACAGACGAGGAGCUUGCUCCUCUGACGUUAGCGGCGGACGGGUGAGUAACACGUGGAUAACCUACCUAUAAGACUGGGAUAACUUCGGGAAACCGGAGCUAAUACCGGAUAAUAUAUUGAACCGCAUGGUUCAAUAGUGAAAGACGGUUUUGCUGUCACUUAUAGAUGGAUCCGCGCCGCAUUAGCUAGUUGGUAAGGUAACGGCUUACUAAGGCAUCGAUGCGUAGCCGACCUGAGAGGGUGAUCGGCCACACUGGAACUGAGACACGGUCCAGACUCCUACGGGAGGCAGCAGUAGGGAAUCUUCCGCAAUGGGCGAAAGCCUAACGGAGCAACGCCGCGUGAGUGAUGAAGGUCUUCGGAUCGUAAAACUCUGUUAUUAGGGAAGAACAAAUGUGUAAGUAACUAUGCACGUCUUGACGGUACCUAAUCAGAAAGCCACGGCUAACUACGUG
rnacentral:rRNA from 1 species